ACUCCUGCCAAAGCUGCCGAGACGGUAUCCUUUUUCUGGAUCCCCUUCCACGAAAGCGUGGGAGCUGUCUUUUCACUCUGCCUAAUAAUCUGCACUUCCGCACACACUCUUUGGGUCCAUGAGUUCUAUUUAAACGCUUUUAGCUACCUUGCAGUACUUUUCUGGAAUAUGUUUGGCCUCCCCAGGUUUGUUAAAGCCACAGAGAAACCCCAGCAUCCUCUAUCUGAAUGAUUCUGACCCAUUGGCUUUGUGAAACCUACCUUUUGAAAUUCAAGAGUUGAAAUGCUUCGAUUACUGUAAAUAUCUAUACUUCCAAGUUUUACAGAAGAAAAGGAAAGACAAGCCAAGAAGGACAGAUCCCUGGGGAACAUGGAGAAAGAAAGUAGACUGAGGAAUCUUAAGAGGCCGUGGGUCCUUGCAGUGUGUUCAUACAGGCAUGCUGAACAGUUAAUAAUUCUGAGAUAUGUUUCAUAAGCUUCCUUGGAGAGUCUGGCAGGAUGGAACACCAUUUGCCUAUAGUGGUGGCCGAUCUAUUCAUGUUUGGUGUGGCUUUCUCUCCUGCAUUUCAUUCUCUCUCUCAUUCCUGUCCGUUGGGUGCCUAUUCAUAAUAAAUGGUCUGCAUGCAAGCUCUUUUUCCAGUUUAUGCAUUCCGAGUACUUCAAGCUAAG